GUGUUACUGAGUCACAUUCAGAUCCUGAGGGUGACAAUGAGGAGUCUAACUCAACUGUGUCAUCAUUUGGAUUAUGAAACAGAUCUUGUGGAUGUGAAGUGUUGGAGUUGGCACAAUGAGGUUGUUGGAGUUUGGGUGCUUGGUUGCAGUUCUAUGUGGUCUUAUUGUGUAUGUGAAAGUUGAGAUUUACAUCGUAACUGUUGAAGGUGAACCUGUUACUAGUUAUGGAGGUGGAAUUUAUGGUUUUGAAGCUACUAUUGUUGAAUCUGAUGAGAAGAUUGAUAUCAAUAGGACAUGGAUUUGUUGUUGGAGAUGAAGGGUACAGGCAGGACAGUGACAUUCAGAAAGUUAAGCUUUCAAGGGAGGCAUUGACACAGCUCUCCAAGUUAGUUGAGUCCAGAGUUAGUACAGGCAGAUCCAGAACUUGAAACAUCAGUUCUUUCAGUUUGGUAAGUUUUAUAACAUAGCAUAACUUUUCUUGUUAGAAAUCUAAGUCAGAUUUUUCUUGUGCAGUCUCGAUACGAUCUUAACACUAUUCUAUUCCUUUUGGAAUUGGGGCUGCUGCCAGGUUAGAUUAAACACUAUCUACCAUAAAUCUUCUGUUUGCAUAUCUAG